rnacentral:rRNA from 1 species
UACAGGGGGUGCAAGCGUUGCUCGGAAUCAUUGGGCGUAAAGCGCACGUAGGCGGUUCGUUAUGUCGGAUGUGAAAGCCCCUGGCUUAACCGAGGAAGUGCAUCCGAAACUGGCGAGCUAGAGUACGAAAGAGGAUCGCGGAAUUCCCGGUGUAGAGGUGAAAUUCGUAGAUAUCGGGAGGAACACCGGUGGCGAAGGCGGCGAUCUGGGUCGAUACUGACGCUGAGGUGCGAAAGCGUGGGGAGCAAACAGG